GACGAACGCUGGCGGCGUGCUUAACACAUGCAAGUCGAACGGAAAGGCCCUGCUUUUGUGGGGUGCUCGAUUGGCGAACGCGUGAGUAACACGUGUGUAACCUGCCCUUGACUUUGGGAUAACUUCAGGAAACUGGGGCUAAUACCCGAUAGGAUCUCCUGCUGCAUGGUGGGGGUUGGAAAGUUUCGGCGGUUGGGGAUGGACUCGCUGCUUAUCAGCUUGUUGGUGGGGUAGUGACUGACCAAGGCUUUGACGGGUAGCCGGCAUGAGAGCGUGACCGGGGACAUUGCGACUGAGAUACGGACCAGAGUGCAAGGGGAGGCAGCAGUGGGGAAUAUUGCACAGCGGGAGGAAGCGUGUUGUGGAAACGCUGCGUGCGUGAUGCCGGCCUUCGGGUUGUAAACAGCUUUGGACUGUGACGAAGCGAGAGUGACGGUAAUGAGUAAAGAAGCACCGGCUAACUACGUG
rnacentral:rRNA from 1 species